GGGGAAUAUUGCACAAUGGGCGAAAGCCUGAUGCAGCGACGCCGCGUGAGCGAAGAAGUAUUUCGGUAUGUAAAGCUCUAUCAGCAGGGAAGAUAAUGACGGUACUCAACAAGGAAGUGACGGCUAACUACGUGCCAGCAGCCGCGGUAAAACGUAGGUCACAAGCGUUGUCCGGAAUUACUGGGUGUAAAGGGAGCGCAGGCGGGAAGACAAGUUGGAAGUGAAAUCUAUGGGCUCAACCCAUAAACUGCUUUCAAAACUGUUUUUCUUGAGUAGUGCAGAGGUAGGCGGAAUUCCCGGUGUAGCGGUGGAAUGCGUAGAUAUCGGGAGGAACACCAGUGGCGAAGGCGGCCUACUGGGCACCAACUGACGCUGAGGCUCGAAAGUGUGGGUAGCAAACAGGAUUAGAUACCCUGGUAGUCCACACCGUAAACGAUGAUUACUAGGUGUUGGAGGAUUGACCCCUUCAGUGCCGCAGUUAACACAAUAAGUAAUCCACCUGGGGAGUACGACCGCAAGGUUGAAACUCAAAGGAAUUGACGGGGGCCCGCACAAGCAGUGGAGUAUGUGGUUUAAUUCGACGCAACGCGAAGAACCUUACCAAGUCUUGACAUCCUGCGACGAUGCUGGAAACAGUAUUUUCCUUCGGGACGCAGAGACAGGUGGUGCAUGGUUGUCGUCAGCUCGUGUCGUGAGAUGUUGGGUUAAGUCCCGCAACGAGCGCAACCCUUACUGUCAGUUACUACGCAAGAGGACUCUGGCAGGACUGCCGUUGACAAAACGGAGGAAGGUGGGGAUGACGUCAAAUCAUCAUGCCCUUUAUGACUUGGGCUACACACGUACUACAAUGGCGUUAAACAAAGAGAAGCAAGACCGCGAGGUGGAGCAAAACUCAGAAACAACGUCCCAGUUCGGACUGCAGGCUGCAACUCGCCUGCACGAAGUCGGAAUUGCUAGUAAUCGUGGAUCAGCAUGCCACGGUGAAUACGUUCCCG
rnacentral:rRNA from 1 species